CCCUGGGAAAACGCAGAGUCCAACAAUGGGAUAAAAAUGUGCCUCAAGAGUGGGUAAAUUGAACUCCCCCAAGCCACUGAAGAUUGCUAAGGGUCUUCAUUUUGGCAAUAUAGAUCCAAAUAUUGUGAUAACAGAGGUUACCAAAGGACUUUGUCUCCAUUAUAUAGGUAAGUAAUGAUGAUGCCAAGCUUUUUCUGUGGUCUGUGCCAUGUUUCCUUCUAACAUGACAGCAGCAUCAAUACAGCAAGAAUAGUUUACCUUGGUGCUGGGUUUUACAUUAAGAUCCUGUGUGUUUGGACUUAAAAACUUUAGUCCACUUAGAAGCUACCAGCAACCUGAGCAAGAGGCCCUGUAGUUUUACGCCUCAAACCAGCGUAAGCACUGCUUUUCAACUAAUACAAAGAAAAGGAAUUGGGGAGGGAGGUCUUUCGAGUAACCAUGGAAGUGACUUUAAAGAAUUGCAGGUUGUCAUUUUGGCAACCAGAGGUGCAGUCUUCAGAGUGGAGGACUCUGUGUGGCAGAGCCAGGCCUUGACCCAGUGUGACCCCCUGAUAUCGGGAACCACAAGAGACUUGUGCAGCUGCCUGGCCUCCAACCGGCCUGGGAGGCUGGCCAUUCCAGGAAACUAGCAGUGAUGGUAUCAUUCCUAGGAGCAUGAUUCACCCAAGAAGAAUGAAAACUUUAGAGCCAUGAAGGCUGACUGUGGAGGAUGGAAGGCUCAUCUCAUUCAUCUUUCUUUCCUGAGCACCCAUCAGUAAAUAUUGCCUUAAGUGAGAUGUGCAAAUUCCAGCUGCUGCUCAGAACUGAUGGUUGUAUGGCCUGUAGAAAAUGUCUUCAUUUCUUUAAUAAUUUUUUGCAGCCUACAUAAAUUUUCUUUUUUCCCGGAUUGGCCCUUGUGCAAAAAAAACAUUGCUUCCCACAGUUAUAAGCCAUUAUAAAUGAUGUGUACUACUUCCUUAAUUUCCCAUCAUUUGGAGUCUAGUGAGGAGACACAGAUUAGUAGAUAAGGUCAAAUUCAACUCAAUAAAAGUUGGGGGUCACUUCAGUCCUGAGUCAGGUACCAGCCUGGCCCAGCGGAGCUUAGUAUGAAAGUACUUUAUGAGGUUGAACAUUUGUAUGGUAUUGUAUAGCAUGUUUAAAAAGCCUAUCACAUAGAUGAUCUCAUUUGACUUUCACUGUAAGUAAAACCAAGGUAUCAGUACUGGUAUCAGUGAUGAACAGACUCAUAUGGGUUCAGGAGCUCUCUCAUGAUGUCCCUCUGCCAGCUGGACAGGGUCCAGGGGCCUCAGAAAAACCAUAUUCUUCAGUUUAUGUGGGAUAUUGCACAUUUCUAGGACUGUGAGUGUUGAUGAGAGGGUAGGGGUGUGUGUACUUGGGAAGGAAACGCAUAAUUCAGGUGUUCCUGAACAAAUUGUGAUCUAGAUGGAGUCCAGCCUUUUUGAAUCUGGCUACAAUGCUAGUGAACUGUCCCAGGUUAAAGGAAUUUGGAUCAACCCCUGGUAUCAAUUUGGCACCAGGUUUGAUAUAUAGUAGAGGGAGCUGUUUAACAAGCCAUGUUCUUCAUCCUGUUGAUAAGGGAGAAACAGGAGAAUAUGAAGUCAUGUAAGGGAGUGUGAGUUGUCCAAAGCUGAAACAAUUUCAUUUGCUGAAGUGAUCUGAGGAUUAGCAUGUCUUUCUAUAAUACACAAAUAUAUUUAGCACAGUGCUUGGCACUUAGUAGGUACUCAAUACAUGUUAAUAAGGUAUUAUGGUAAUAAAUAAUAGAUUAUGCAUGGUCCUGUUAUGGUUUUUUAAAGUUUUUUCCUUAGUCUUGAGUUCUGAUUCCUAUAUUGCUUUUGGAUGCCAGGUUAUUCUAUGUGCUUAUUUGGUUCUUGAUGUACUAGUUAUGCAAUAAAAUCUGUUGAAGGAAUAAAUGAAAGAAGGAAGGCUUGCAGUGACACUUUGUAUUUACUUCUAAGGCAAUG
rnacentral:lncRNA from 1 species